GUACAAGAAUGAGAAAAGAUGAACAAAGGAGAAGCCAUAAAAAAUGCAUUCACACAAGUGGUUCAGGAAGUUUUGCUUAGUUUGCUGAUGAAAAGGAAACUAUAGAUGGAUAGUUUUUGGAUUGACUUGAACUUUUUCGUCUGAUGCACACAAAGAAAGAUGAAAAAACACAACUUAUGGUCUUUUUGCUAAUCCUUAAAUUUAAUGACUACUUAUCAUAUUUUUUUUCAAAUGACAUUUUAAACUUUAAAUUAUUUGAAUAUCGUGCAGAAGAAAGCAAAUUCAAGGCUUGUUGGGCAUCAAUAAGCUGCACCGAAUGGGACUUCACUGGAUCCGCAAGAACUUCAAAAUUUGAGUUACUACAAAAGUGUUUGGACCCAAGAGAAAUGGACGAGUGUAAAUUUUCGGAAUAGAUCCGACUUCAUCUCAAUUCUUUGGAUGUGGCUCUCAACGAAAUACUUCGUCACAUGAAGUAGUCAAAGAACUAGAUGACGUCAAAGCAACAAUGGCAAAAAUGCAUGCCAAAAACGAUGAAGAUAGGAGAAAGAUAAGAGGAAAUACACGCACAAAAUGCGCUACUUCUAUAACUGUUGGAUAAAACAAGUUAGUCAACAAAUAUAAAUAUUUAUAUUAAAUAUAAGAUUUGAAUAAAUAAUGUAAACGGGUCAAUUUGCCCGGGCCCAUGUCAAAGCCAAAAUACCAAAAUAAAUCUAAAACCCAUAAAAAUAAAAACCAAUCAAUAGUCCGGGUCCAGUUCCAAAAUCCAAUUACACGGCCCAAAUACAAUGGCCCUAACCCUAGCCCCAUUCGCUCAGUGCCGCAGUAGCCUCCAGCACUACCAUGGCUCGCGCCUCCACGUCGACACCACCAGCAGCCUCUGUACGCGUCAGCUACCCCCACCACGUUGCCUCCG